rnacentral:rRNA from 1 species
GUGAAAUUGUUGAAAGGGAAACGAUUAAAGUCAGUCGUACCUACGAGUGAUCAACCUACUCGAGUGCGUAUUUUGUGGGUAUGUUUGAGUACUUAAAAACCUUCAUGCUUACAAAUUGGUGCUUCGUUUGGGCGUUACUUUCUCGUAUGGUAGGUUAACAUCAAUUUCGAUCGUUAUAAAAUGACUGGAGGAAUGUAGCUUCGACCUCGGUUGAAGUGUUAUAGCCUUUGGUAGAUGUAAUGAUUGGGAUUGAGGAUUGCAACGGAUACCCUUCAGGGCUAUUCGUCUGAUCUCUCGAUACGUUGCCUUGAUGUUGAAAGCUUGCUUAUGAUGUUAGGGUAUUACGGUCAAAAGGUUAGAACGAAUUACAUUCGUUAAGGAUGUUGACGUAAUGGCUUUAAACGAC